AUUGUACGCUGGCGGCAGGCUUAACACAUGCAAGUCGAGCGGGGAAGGUUGCUUCGGUAACUAACCUAGCGGCGGACGGGUGAGUAAUGCUUAGGAAUCUGCCUAUUAGUGGGGGACAACGUUCCGAAAGGAACGCUAAUACCGCAUACGUCCUACGGGAGAAAGCAGGGGAUCUUCGGACCUUGCGCUAAUAGAUGAGCCUAAGUCGGAUUAGCUAGUUGGUGGGGUAAAGGCCUACCAAGGCGACGAUCUGUAGCGGGUCUGAGAGGAUGAUCCGCCACACUGGGACUGAGACACGGCCCAGACUCCUACGGGAGGCAGCAGUGGGGAAUAUUGGACAAUGGGGGGAACCCUGAUCCAGCCAUGCCGCGUGUGUGAAGAAGGCCUUAUGGUUGUAAAGCACUUUAAGCGAGGAGGAGGCUACUGAGACUAAUACUCUUGGAUAGUGGACGUUACUCGCAGAAUAAGCACCGGCUAACUCUGUGCCAGCAGCCGCCGUAAUAC
rnacentral:rRNA from 1 species